rnacentral:rRNA from 1 species
AGUGAACGCUGGCGGUAGGCCUAACACAUGCAAGUCGAACGGCAGCACAGUAAGAGCUUGCUCUUACGGGUGGCGAGUGGCGGACGGGUGAGGAAUACAUCGGAAUCUACUUUUUCGUGGGGGAUAACGUAGGGAAACUUACGCUAAUACCGCAUACGACCUACGGGUUAAAGCAGGGGAUCUUCGGACCUUGCGCGAUUGAAUGAGCCGAUGUCGGAUUAGCUAGUUGGCGGGGUAAAGGCCCACCAAGGCGACGAUCCGUAGCUGGUCUGAGAGGAUGAGCAGCGACACUGGAACUGAGACACGGACCAGACGACUACGGGAGGCAGCAGUGGGGAAUAUUGGACAAUGGGCGCAAGCCUGAUACAGCAAUACCGCGUGGGUGAAGAAGGACUUAGGGUUGUAAAGCAAUUUUGUUGGGAAAGAAAAGAAGCAGGUUAAUACCCAGAUGUUCUGACGGUACCCAAAGAAUAAGCACCGGCUAACUUCGUG